AGAGUUUGAUCCUGGCUCAGGAUGAACGCUGGCGGCGUGCCUAACACAUGCAAGUCGAGCGAGAAAUAAAGGAAUGAAGCUUCGGUAGAUUUUCUUUAUGGAAAGCGGCGGACGGGUGAGUAACGCGUAGGCAACCUGCCCUGUACAGGGGGAUAGCCACCCGAAAAGGUGAUUAAUACCCCAUAACGCAAGAGAUACACAUGUAUCACUUGUCAAAGAUUUAUCGGUAUAGGAUGGGCCUGCGUCUGAUUAGCUAGUUGGUAGGGUAACGGCUUACCAAGGCAACGAUCAGUAGCCGACCUGAGAGGGUGAUCGGCCACAUUGGAACUGAGACACGGUCCAAACUCCUACGGGAGGCAGCAGUGGGGAAUAUUGCACAAUGGGCGCAAGCCUGAUGCAGCAACGCCGCGUGAAGGAUGAAGGCCUUCGGGUUGUAAACUUCUGUCCUAGGGGAAGAAACAAAUGACAUUACCCUUGGAGGAAGCCCCGGCUAACUACGUGCCAGCAGCCGCGGUAAUACGUAGGGGGCGAGCGUUAUCCGGAAUUAUUGGGCGUAAAGAGUGCGUAGGUGGCACCUUAAGCGCAGGGUUUAAGGCAAUGGCUCAACCAUUGUUCGCCUUGCGAACUGGGGUGCUUGAGUGCAGGAGGGGAAAGUGGAAUUCCUAGUGUAGCGGUGAAAUGCGUAGAUAUUAGGAGGAACACCAGUGGCGAAGGCGACUUUCUGGACUGUUACUGACACUGAGGCACGAAAGCGUGGGGAGCAAACAGGAUUAGAUACCCUGGUAGUCCACGCCGUAAACGAUGAGCACUAGGUGUCGGGGUCGCAAGACUUCGGUGCCGCAGUUAACGCAUUAAGUGCUCCGCCUGGGGAGUACGCACGCAAGUGUAAAACUCAAAGGAAUUGACGGGGACCCGCACAAGCAGCGGAGCAUGUGGUUUAAUUCGAAGCAACGCGAAGAACCUUACCAGGGCUUGACAUUUAGGUGAAGCGGCGGAAACGUCGUGGCCGAAAGGAGCCUAAACAGGUGGUGCAUGGCUGUCGUCAGCUCGUGUCGUGAGAUGUUAGGUUAAGUCCUGCAACGAGCGCAACCCUCGUCGUAUGUUGCCAGCGGUUAGGCCGGGCACCCAUACGAGACCGCCGGCGUCAAGCCGGAGGAAGGUGGGGACGACGUCAAGUCAUCAUGCCCCUUAUGUCCUGGGCUACACACGUGCUACAAUGGCCGGCACAAUGGGCUGCCAACCCGCGAGGGUGAGCGAAUCCCUAAAGCCGGUCCCAGUUCGGAUUGGAGGCUGCAACCCGCCUCCAUGAAGUCGGAGUUGCUAGUAAUCGCGGAUCAGCACGCCGCGGUGAAUGCGUUCCCGGGCCUUGUACACACCGCCCGUCACACCACCCGAGUCGAUUGCACCCGAAGUCGUCGGCCUAACCUUUUAGGAGGGAGACGCCGAAGGUGUGGUUGGUAAGGGGGGUGAAGUCGUAACAAGGUAGCCGUACCGGAAGGUGCGGCUGGAUCA
rnacentral:rRNA from 1 species